AACUAUAAAUAUAAAAUGCGUAACCUCGACGGAGAUAGGUGCACAAUCGUAGAGAAGAAUAUCCAAAACCAGGAAAACAAACAGUCUUGAAUCGUUUCCACCUUAAAAUAUCGAAACGACCUCUAAAUUUUAUGCAACAAUGGCACUAUCAACUCUUCAACAACUCCUCAAAAAAUCGCCACUACAUUCAAGAAUCCUUGCUUCGCUUCAAAACCCUCAUUUGCUUCAAUCCCCGAAAGUAAAUCCACCCGUCAAUAUCGAUGGCAGACCAUUUUUGUUUGGUUCAUCUAAAGUAGAAAACUUGACCCAUUUGAAUCCCUGGCUAUUUUCACCGAUAUCUCCAGUUCAGAUAUUUUCUUACCAGAAUUUAUCAUCUGGGUCGGCCCAAGAUGGUUCAAACGAUGAUGAUUCAGGGAUGUGGGCUGAUAGUGUGAAGAAGAAGAGAAAGAAGAAGAUGAACAAGCAUAAGUACAGAAAGUUGAAGAAAAGGCUUAGGAGACGGACUUAGUUUCAAGUUUGUUUUGGUAACAAAAUUGGAAAUCUUUUGGCUGGACCAUGUAUAUCUCAAACCUUAGUGUGGAGCUGGAAUAAUAGCAAGAUAUCUCUAUAUCACAAGUGGCUAUUGUUAAGAAGUUGUAAAUAUAUAUACUAAGGUGAUAGAGAUGUUCUUCUAAUAAAAUGCUGAGUUGCUCUUGUAAAUUUUAAGGUUUUCUUAGUUUAUUUAGUAAUCAGGUUGUUGUAGCAAUAAUGCAAACAAUAUAUGUUCUGGGUAGAAAAACAUAUAUUUUAAAGAUGAAAUAAUAAGAUACCUCAAUA